GCUGAACUUAAGCAUAUUAAUAAGCGGAGGAAAAGAAACUACCCAGGAUUCCCCUAGUAACGGCGAGUGAAGCGGGAUGAGCUCAAGCUUAAAAUCUCUGUGCCAGUUUGGCAUGGCGAAUUGUAGUCUAUAGAGGCGUUGUCAGUGCGGCUGUGCGGGGUAAGUUCCUUGGAAGAGGACAGCAUCGAGGGUGAUACUCCCGUUUGUACCUGUGCGGCUUGCGCGUACGACACGUUUUCUUCGAGUCGCGUUGUUUGGGACUGCAGCGCAAAGUAGGUGGUAAAUUCCAUCUAAAGCUAAAUAUUGGUGCGAGACCGAUAGCGAACAAGUACCGUGAGGGAAAGAUGAAAAGAACUUUGAAAAGAGAGUUAAAGAGUACCUGAAACUGCUGAAAGGGAAGCGAAUCGUAUCCAGUGUCUAUAAUCUGCGGCAUAUUUCAUUGGCGGCGGUGCGCGUGCUUUUGCGUCGGAAGCGGCUUUUGUUGCUCUGUGCUUUUGCUGUGCGUGCUGUUGCUGGUGAGGUAGGUCAGGACUUCGGUCUUGGCUGUUAUAUCUUGGUGGUUUGUUGUCGUGGUUGGGACUGAGGUGCCUACAAUGUGCUUUUGAGUGUGCCGGGUUCUCAUUUGGUGGACUGUUUGGAUAGCUUGCUAUGCUUGUGGUUUUUUCAUCGAGUGAUUGAGUCUGGUGGUAACUUAUUGCCGUUCGGGACUUUGACGAAAUGGAGCGAUUCGGCCCGUCUUGAAACACGGACCAAGGAGUCUAACAUGUGUGCAAGUGUUAGGGUGUGGAAACCCGAGCGCGUAAUGAAAGUAAAGGGUGGCUUUAGCUGCCUGAGGUAGGAAACCUUUGUUCUCAGAGGUGGCACUAUCGACCGAUCAAGAACCUUCGUGGUGAAAGAUUUGAGUAUGAG
rnacentral:rRNA from 1 species